rnacentral:rRNA from 1 species
AUGCUUCCGCCCUUACGUAUGAGGGGCCACACCAAGGUCAAAGAGAUGAACUACGACAACCGCUACAAGCCAUAUUACAGGAGAGCCGGGCUCUUGGGUUUCGUGCUCCAGUUCAAGCGUAUGCCGCCGAUGCUUGUCCACACGGCUCUCACAUCGUUGGUGGACCGUUGGCGGCCCGAGACACACUCUUUCCAUCUCCCAUGUGGUGAGAUGACGGUGACGCUCGAGGACUUUGCCAUGAUCACGGCCCUACCGAUCAAGGGCCAUGCUCUCAUUGGGUGCGUGGAUAAGAAGAACUGGCCGGACAGGGUUACCGCCCUCAUCGGCGACUGCCCUCCCAUCAAGAGUAACCGAACAUCCGGUGUAGCACUGGCAUGGCUCCUAGACCACCGGGCUGAAUGCCCGCAAGAUGCGGAUCCGAGGACCGUGGAGCAGUAUGCAAGGACCUACCUAUGGUUUCUUUUCACAGAGGUGGUCUUUCCUGACUGCUCGGGGGACAACGCCCUAUGGAUGUACUUGGACUUCCUGGCCGACUGGGAUGCAGGGUACAGCUGGGGGUCUGCUGGCCUCGUGUACCUCUACCGUUCACUGGAUGACGCAACACAGAGGACCGAGAAAACAUCUGGGAUGUGUGGGUGUGUCUGGGCCCUCUCGAUUUGGAGUUGGGAGCGGCUGCCGGUUGGUCGCCCUGAGAAGCUGCCACAGACAGAGUGGACGGAGUAUGGCGAGGAUGGCGACCGUUCUCGAUACCCUACUGUCGCCUAUUCUUGGGACAAGGUUAAGGUCUUCUCGGGCAAGGAAAGUGCGAUGUACAAGGCCUUCACCAAUGAGCUGGACAACCUGACAUCUUUUCAGGUUAACUGGUGGCUGUACCACGAUAGAGCUUGGGGGUUCGAGCUGAACGAGAUGUGCGAGCGGGACCGCCUUCUCUUCUGGUGCAUUGUCCCGCUGAUAUGCGUGUACGCCGUCGAAUGGCACCUACCACAACGCGUGGCGACACAAUUUGGCGUAUUGCAACACACACCACCAGCAAGGCCCCACGACACCGGCGGUUACGACCUUCACAAGAAGAGCAAUCAGUAUUCUCAGUCGAUAUUGGACUGGGCUGACGAGCACAAGUCUUUUGUGACAAUGUGGGACGAGAGGACGUUCCGCAAAGAUGGGGAGAGGUCAGGCAUUUGCUGGAAUGUGUAUGAGAGGCACAUGAAUUGGUAUGACGAUGGCAUCAAGUUUCGUCUGCAUCUGAGGCCACGAUGGACGGAAGUGGACAUGGCAUCACUUCAGGAGGAGGAGGACUCUGAGGAUGAAGAAACCUCAGAGAUAUGCAAGGUGAUUUCAGGGAGUAUGCGCCCCUUAUGA